AAAAAACCUUACCCCAUCACAUCUCGCAGCAAUGAUGCAUGGUUUGCCACCAAAAUAUAAUUAAAAAAACAAAAAUCUGGAACAUGUUUGUCUUUGUUUGAUGCCAGCUUGCCCGUUGCUUUUCUUCUUUUGCUCAGCCUUCCCAUGCGUUUUCCACUGUUUUGCCACGCGUCGAUCAUCGUGGAUAAGUUCUCUUCAAUUGCAUCUCUCCAAAUCUCCUUCAGUUUCCAGUUGCUUUCCUUUUCUCAACCUUUGGUUUCCGAUCUUCUCAUCUUUCUCAUUUUUCUCUGCCAAAUCAUAUGUGCAAAUUUCUUGCGUUUAAAACCCUUUGGAAAAAUAAAUAGUUGUUGCAUCCUCCGUUUAAAAUCCCUGGGUCACUGUGCUCUUCGUUCCUCGAAAAAGAGAUAAUAAAUGCACGCUGAUGGAAAUAUAUAGGUCACUGUGCUCUUCGUUCCUCGAAAAAGAGAUAAUAAAUGCACGGUGAUGGAAAUAUAUAUCCUUAGAUCUAUUGUUUGGUUGUAUGAUUUGCUUCUGUGUUUUGUUUCAGGUCACUGUGCUCUUCGAUCCUCGAAAAAGAGAUAAUAAAUGCACGGUGAUGGAAAUAUAUAUAUAUAUAUAUAUAUAUAUAUAUAUAUAUAUAUAUCAGCAUGUUUUGGUUUACAUUACGCCAUGUGUUGAUCAUCCUCUUCUAUUUGAGAGGCAGACAGAGUUAAAGAUGGAUGCCUUGCAGUUGCCCGAUGGCAGUAACCAAAGCCCAGUCCUUGAAAAAGAGAUAAUAAAUGCACGGUGAUAGAAUAUAUAUAUUUAUAUUUAUAUAUAUAUCAGCAUGUUUUGGUUUACAUUAUGCCACGUGUUGAUCAUCCUCUUCCAUUUGAGAGGCAGACAAAGGAAAAGCUGGAUGCCUUGCAGUUGCCUGGUGGCACUAACCAAAAGCUCAUUCCUCGAAAAAAGAGAUAAUAAAUGCGAAGUAGCAGAAAUAUAUAUAUAUAUAUAUAUAUAUAUAUGUAUGUAUGUAUGUAUGUAUGUAUAAAUAUAUAUUUAGCAGGGCAUAAAAGAUAGUCCAAGGUCAUGAUGCGAGGUGGGAGAAAAACAAAAAGAUAAAAAAAAAAUAUAUAUAUAUAUAUUAUAUUGGCUAGGACAAACCACGUGUUAAUGAUCCCAUGCAUUUGGCCUUUUAGCUCUUCGCUUUUAUAUUUCUUUUCUUUUCUGCACGUUUCCUCUCUCAUUUGUCUUUCUUUUUGGUUUCGACUUCGGCGUUUUCUCCCCUCUCUGUGUCGCUGCUUGCAAAUUUGGGUUUGUAAGCUCUUCUCUUUUAUUUCUCUUCUCUUUGCUGCACGUUUGCUGUCAUAUUUUCUUUUCUUUUCUUCUUUUUUUUAGCUUCGGGCUUAUGUUUUUUCUCCUCUUUUGGUAUUUGCUGCUUGCAAAUCUAAAUUUGUAACUUCGGUGCUCAAUCUGGGUUUGUAAGUUUGGUCCUCAUUUUUGUUGUGCUUUUUGCUUUCCAUUUUGUUUUGC